UAUACCGUAGUUCUUCUUCUCCGUUACACAUCACCUUGUUAGAUCUCAAACGAAAAGAAACCUUCUCACCGUUUUCUCACCUUGUUUCUAAGCAUUCAAACAAGAUCUUUCACAUAAUCACUGAUUCUCACUGGAAUCGCAACUUUUUAUUUUACUCACCAAUGAGUUACAGAAGAGAUAAUCGGUCUUCUAAGUCAUCCCUUUUAGAUUUGGAUAGUCUGGAGGAGGGUGGUUUAAGGGCUUCUUCUUCUUACUCAUCUGAAAUAAAUGAGCAAGAUAAUGAUAAAGCCAUAGAUACUCUCCAUGACAGAGUUUCUUUUCUAAAACGAUUAACAGGUGAUAUACAUGAGGAGGUCGAGAGUCAUAACAAUAUGCUUGAUCGGGUGGGUAACAAAAUGGAUGGAUCAAGGGGUAUGAUGUUGGGAACCAUGGAUCGAUUCAAGAAGAAACUGAAUUUUGUAGGUUUUUGAGAAGAAAUCGACAAGGAAAACAUGCUCACUUGUGGGUUAUUUCACACUGGCCUUCAUAUUCUUAUACUAUCUUAUUAGGAUGCUUGGAUAUUUUACACUAGGAUGAAACCUGUUAUGUUAAAGAUGACUGGAUUGUGGGAUUGAUGUUUGGAAGCAAAACUCUGUUCCUAUGCUGUAAAAUGUUUGAACUAUUGGCAUGUGGUUUGAAACUCAAUUGUGAAUUUUGAUCCUUGAAAAUAACUGCAUAUAUGAAGCUUAACAUUAGUCCGUUGUUUACUUCCUCUCCUGACCUGGUCCUGUAUAAUUUUCAUAGUGGCCACUAUAGUCUUGAAUUCAUUUAUUAUGUAAAUUUUAGCAAUAUGAUAUUAUUUAUUUAUUUAUAUUUAUUUA